AAAUGAGAAAUAGAAGCGGAAUAGCAGAAGGAACCAAGGUGUAAUAUUUAGACUUGGCGUCCUUCCUGACCCAGAACAAGACUCACUCCACCAAUUCCUGUCUAUCCCUGUGUCAACUCUUCAGCAUUUCCUUUAAUUUUUAGUGUUUUCCGAGCAUUUCCUGCUGUGUUCCACCUGAAAUACAUAGUGUAAUGAUAGGAGGAAGAAAUGUGAAAUAGAAUUGUGUGAGGGAGUGUAGUACCAGCAGCAGCAUUAUUAUUGUUAGAUGUGUGUGUGUGUGUGCGUGUGUGUGUAUGUGUGUUAUAUGCAGCCGGCCAGCAAGUGGCUGUCACUGUCAGGCUGGUGGUGGUGUUCAGGUCCCGGACAGACUGCCUCACCGUGUAUGGUGCACUCUGUUAACUGUGGGUGAUAUUUCUGCUACACCUUUAUAUAUACUGAUUUUUUUUUUCUUCUAUGUAAGAAGGAAAAGCUGGCCAAAGUCAACUUAAAAAGUGAAAUAAAAAAAAAAAAAAAAAAGGCCCACUUACUUUAGUCCCCUUGUAUGGUCUUACGUCUAUGCUCCCAGCCUUCCCAUUGUUGCAUGACUCUCCUCACGCUGUGUGUCAGUAUUUUUUUUUCUUUAACCUGUGAUGAUAUAGGCAUCAGUUUUGAUUAUUGUUUGCUUGUUUGUGGCCUUGUGACCUUGUUACUACAGCAAGUUUUUCUUUUUUUUUUCUUUAUUAAUUUACAUGUUUUCCAACAAUACAUCUGGUUUUAGUAAAGAUGUCCAGAAUUUUUAUGGUUAAUAUAUUGUAACCCUAAGCUAGUAUUAACUUAAAUUUUACAAUAAACUUGACUGAAUGAUUUUGUUUUUCUUAUCAAAGGUAUAACUCACUCUCUCUCUCUCUCUCUCUCAACCAGAAACAGAGUUCGUGUAAAACUUUUAUUUUACACUUUGUACAUAAGAACAAUAUACUUUAAUAACAAUAGUCAUGUUUAGUAAUUAUGAUAAAAGUAAUUAUCAUACAAGUAACAGUAAUAACUAGCUACACUACAUAAUUAAUGAUAACAUAAUGGUAAUAAUGAUACAUACUUGGGUAAAAUCAAUGUCUGAAAAUAAAGGGCAUUGGAUCAUCAUGGUAAAUCAAAGAAUGGCAACAAUUAUUAGUGGCUUCUAAGGGUUGCUAAGGGCAGGGCCAGGCAGCCUCUCCUCAUAAAGGCUUCUUGUCUCAAAACAAAAUGUAUGCAGACAAUUCUCUUUAAAAACACCACAGCAAGCCCUCAAUGUAAGCCAUUUAUAUAUUGCUGUUAGUUAGUGGAGGGGGAUGCAAUUAUGACCAAAAAUCAUCUCCCAAGGACACAGCUUUCAAAAUUUCAAACAACACUUUUUAUCACGGGGGGAACAUUUUUGGCUAUAAUUUGUGCAGAAAAAUAAUGAUAAAAAAUUAGUAAAUAAACACAAAAGCAGGAAUAAAAAGUAAAAUAGCCUAAAUCAUGGACUUGCUGAAUGAAAGUAACGACACAUUGAAAUCUAUCCUAGCCUACACACUACACUGUCUUUUUUUUCAUAAUAUACCUUAAGCAGACACUAUAGUCUUUCCCUAAAAACCAACAGUAACAUAAACAAUUCUAUGUAAUAAAAAUAAUUUGUGGCUAAAAUUUGCAAUGCUCCAACAGCUUCAUUAUAUUAUACAUAGUUCUUUAACAAACAGGCAAGAAUAUUACAGUAUGGAUCAGUAUUAUCAGUAUCAUUAGACAUAGCAGUUUGAGCAUUACCAUUUGAUUAGUAAUUACAUUUUUAAGGUAGUUAUCCUAAAUAAGACUAAUCUGACCACUUGGAUUAAAAACUCUGAUCUGUAGCUUCAAAAGUGACACAGAAGUAUAUUGCACAAUAAAAGUAGUACUCUGAUAUACUCAAGAGUAAAUGCAGCAAGUGAUAACAUAAACUAACAGCAUUUUUUCCUGAAAAGUAUUACCAGUGUUCCUAAGUGGGUGCUAGCGCAGAGAACCGAGAUAACAGCAAGUAAUGGUGGCACUGGUUAGACAUUAAUUAUUGUCACAGGACUGGUGGCGCUGGUGCUACACACUCACGAGUCACGACCCACAGCCGCUCUAGAGAAGGAUAGUAUUUUGAUUUCCAGUAUACAUUUUUGAUUGCCUUGAGCAAGAAAUGUAGUGCAGACAAUGCCUUUUUUUUAUUUUUUCUAAUUCAUUACUGAUAAUUCCAUGAAAAGAACAAUGAGAAAUUGCAUGAUGAACUUUGGUUAUCAUACUAAAGACCACAAACACUUUUUAAAACACCUGAGCAACUGCAUGCUAGUCUCUUUGAUAUACUAUGUACAAGCUUUCCUUGCAUCACCCAUGGCAGCAUCUAGCCCACUGUCACGUGGCCCACGCUGCCGUCCUCACAACCCGUGUUAUCGCACAUCACUGACGCCCGGCCUGGCAGCGUCUGGUCAACAAUGUAAUGCAGUAAUUGAAGGAAAUGUAGCGAAUAACAUAUGUAGAUCUGGCUCAUGGAAGAAGACACCAUUCCAAUCUUUCCACAGGAGGAGUUACUUGUGUCCUGCCGGCCUGGUAUGGUGCAUGCUGAAUUUUGUAUUUUGUCAGGUUUCAUGCAGGUUAAGACAAAUGCAUCAUGGAGUAAUAUAGAAUAAGAGCUUCCUGGAUGGUGGUGAGUCUUACAUCAUAAUGGUGUGAAGGAAUAUCCAGAAAUAAAAGGCAAAUGGUGCAAAUUAAGGCCGAGGUGAACACUACCUCAAGAGAAUCUGACUCUGCACUGGCCGGACAGCUGCGCUCGCGUCUCGGCAGUGAAGACAUAUAACUAAUUUCAUUUUUAAACUUGCAGCAGCUAGAGAACAAAACAGCAACAACAACAACAACAACAGUAAAGUUACUUCUUCCUCUGAGAAGCUGGACUGGAGGAGAGACUGCUUGCAAUCACCAACUCUUAGCAAAUCCCUAAUUGCAUUAUUUUCCUGUGCCACAGUGACAUGCUUCCCCACACAAACCUGAACCAAGGAGGGGCUGGGCAUCAUAUGGCAGGGAUCAAGGGAAAGAGGCUCAAAAACAAACAAUACUCCACUUACAACUGCAUGGCCCGGUUAGGUCUGUGUGGGGUUGCAAGAUGCAUAUAUUAUAUGUAUGUAUAUAUAUAUAUAUAUAUAUAUAUAUAUAUAUAUAUAUAUAUAUAUAUAUAUAUAUAUAUAUAUAUAUUCAUAAAUCUUUGCUUCUUAGUAACAAUAUUGACAAUGUGAAGGAGGAGGGCUGGAAAUAAGAGGGAGGUAAACUAUGAAGGAGAGCAACAUCCUGACUGCAUUCUACUUGUGUCUUAUGUUCCUGAAUUUUAAGUAAACACCUUGGCAUCCUGGGAGAUGCAUUUGUGAAUACAUUAAGUACAUGUGUUAUGUGUUGAGAAACCAACAUCUGGAGGAAUAUUAUCAUCAAAUUAUCUAAAUUCAUUAUACAUUUUGAUGUUUUAAAAUGUCUUUUUGUAGAUCAAACUGUUGGAGCAAAUCGUCUUUUUUUUUUUUCAGAUAAAAUCUGCAUUAAAUGAUUUUAGAUCACAAAUGCAUUGCUUUGACUUUAUAUUACAAUGUAGUAGAUACAGCAUCAUUAAUUCUAGUUUCUCUUUAGGAUGCACUGCAGGAUGACAUGUCAAGGUGGCUAAGCACACACACACACUCACUCACUCACUCACUCACUCACUCACUCACUCACUCACUCACUCACUCACACACACACACACACACACACACACACACACACACACACACACACACACA